rnacentral:rRNA from 1 species
AUUGAACGCUGGCGGCAUGCCUUACACAUGCAAGUCGAACGGCAGCGCGGGAGCAAUCCUGGCGGCGAGUGGCGAACGGGUGAGUAACAUAUCGGAACGUGCCCUGGAGUGGGGGAUAACUAGUCGAAAGAUUAGCUAAUACCGCAUACGCUCUGUGGAGGAAAGUGGGGGAUCGCAAGACCUCAUGCUCGUGGAGCGGCCGAUAUCUGAUAGCUAGUUGGUAGGGUAAAAGCCUACCAAGGCGACGAUCAGUAGCUGGUCUGAGAGGACGACCAGCCACACUGGGACUGAGACACGGCCCAGACUCCUACGGAGGCAGCAGUGGGGAAUUUUGGACAAUGGGGGCAACCCUGAUCCAGCAAUGCCGCGUGAGUGAUGAAGGCCUUAGGGUUGUAAAGCUC